CAGAUAAGACUCUGUCUACCCUGGGCAGCUUUCCUGAUCCAUGACAGGCUGGCUUACAAGCAAUACUAGGCUUCUAUUGUCUCUUUCUGUCUAUUUAUAAGAAACAUGGCCAGGCAAGAUGGCUUAUGUCUUUAAUCUCAGCUGUUUGGGAAGCCAAGUGGAAAGAUUGCUGGAGGCCAGGAGUUCAAGACCAACCUGGAUAACACAGCCCAGUCCCAAAAAAGCACCUGAAGCUUGUUUUAGUUUUCAUUCUUCUUAUGGUGUACACUUUAAGUGAAUUGGUAUGUCUACAUCAUCCCAGUAGGAGUGAAUGUCUGUGUGUGUGUACCUGAGAUAAGAUGAUGUCUUGUCCAAUGCUGGUUUCCACCUUGUGCCCUGAGCUGUAGGGAGAGGCUCCUGCGACCUGUGACCCUGAAGCAGAAUAAGUGGACUGAAUAAAGGAAUGAUGGAUAU
rnacentral:lncRNA from 1 species